GCGCCCCAAGCACUUCCCGCCGAGCAAACGACCCCCGUCGACGUGACUGCAUCACCAACCGAGGUAACACCCCCUCCUCUCGCUGCUUUAGCUUUUCAGAAGGACCUGCCAUUUAAGACGUUGUUAAAAUUGAGCACGUGGCAAUCCUACGUCCCGUUAAAAUGCAAUGAAGUAUAAGAGAAUUUAACAAAUAAAUCCUAGAUAUCGCCCACUCAAAUAAUAGCAUAUGAAUUCAAGAAGUGCUAUACUUUAAACCACAAGAUAGUAAGUUAGAAAUAAGAAAUGUUUUCUGUAAUACCUCUUAUGUGGUAUAUGGGUCGGGUCUGCAAUAAGCCCAUCCGUAAACCAAGUUCAAGGCUAUAAUAUCUCCUUACUGUGGAUGGCUUGUUAGGCCAACACCGCAAAUGCCGAGGAACCCUUGGUUGACCUCUCCACG
rnacentral:lncRNA from 1 species